rnacentral:rRNA from 1 species
AUGGCGGAAGCUUUAGCUCUAAAAUUCGGUCUAACACUGGCGCAACGGGCGGGAUGCAAUCGCCUUAUUAUAAAUUCGGAUAAUAUGGAGGUGAUUGAUACUGUGAAUGAUGGAGGACAGUUGGCGUGUGCGGCGGCAGCAAUCUUCGAUGAUUGUUUUCAUUAUGCUUGUGAUUUUGCUACUACUAGAUUUGAGCGCUGUAACGGGGAAGCAAAUAAAGUAGCUCAUGAGCUUGCUAGAUUAGCUAGAUUUUUGUUGACUUCCGAUUCGUUUGAGGAGCCUUAA